rnacentral:lncRNA from 1 species
AGUCGCCAUAUGACCCAUAAUUGUGUGGGUGCAACAUUAAACCCAACAAAAACAAAUAACUACACAAAAAUGUUCACCAUCAUCAUGCAACAAAAGGCUGAAGGUCAAGGUCACACUUGAAGGUUUUUAAAAAGUCCAAUGUCCACCCCAUAUCUUCUAAACCAUAGAUAAAAUAAUUUUCAUAAAACCAGCAUUAGUUAAUUACUUCCGAAAGAUGAUGAGCAGAAGGCACAGCCAAGGUCACUAGCUCUAACGUAAGGUCAAACUUAAAGGUCAUUUUUCAAAUAGCUUUAUUAUACGCUUACCAAAGUAUGAUGAGAUUUAUAAGAACCAAAUUGUCCAAUUUCAGAAUCCCUGCUAUGCCCCAUCCCAUCUCACAAAUAUCAGGUCCCAUAACAGAGACUUAUUUUGACAAAUGUUUUCCCCUUUUCUCUUAAAAUAUUUCCCAUAAUUGCUAUUUCUUUUAAUAUUUCUGAAAACAAUGUUUGCAUUUGAUUGAAAUGUCACACAGAUCUUUGAGGUCAUUAUUAAGUUUAUACAUCUUUAUUUAAUCAAAAAUUCUCACAUUUUUGACUUGUAAAAAUGUGGCAAAAUUGUUGUUUUCUUUGAACAUCUCUGAAACCAUUGAACAUAUUGCAUACUCAUUAGGAACUACAAAACAGGUUUAACUGAUCAAAAUUCAAGUUCACAUAGCAAGUCGAAUAACUCUGACUUCCGUUUUUGACAAAAGUUCCCUUUUUUGCACUUCAGAAAUGUCAAGAACAUAGAAUUUUCUUUUAUACUAUUAAAGCCUUCUUGCACUGGAUUGAAAAUUUACAUUUGUCUUUGAUCAUAAUGUAAUUAUACACAUCACAUGUUUUUUUUAUUUCACUCAGCUAGACCAGAUUUUAUGACUUUUGACUUGAAAUAUGCAUAAAGGAUCUAAAGGUUUGUGUCGCGUGUAUCUCAAUGAACUAUUUAUUCUAGGUUAAUGAUAGGAAUGUUAUUCAGCAUUGAAAGUUGUGCACCUUGAAUUUUUUUUUUGAUUUCUCUCAGCCAGACCAGAGUUAUGGAUCUUGAUAUAGAGUCUAAAUAGGACUUAAAAGUUAGUUUCACAGGUAUCUCAAAACGAUUUGGUCAAGAGUCAUAAAAUGUUAUGGGAUUGUUAUUCAGAAUAUAGUUAUACCUCUUAUGAUAGCUUAUACAUCAGAUGUGUUUGUUGUAAAUUUCUGAUAAUAUCAUUAUCCUUAAAGGAAUUACUUAUCAAACUGAACUGUUAUAUAGCCGAAACAAUGUAGUGUUUGCAAUCAUCAUAUUGCAGAAUAAUUCUGUUUUCUUUUUUUGCACCGUAAAACCCAAAUAAAUAAAUAAAUUUUUAAUUAGUUCAGGUAUUGAUUGUAAAGAAAGGUUGAGAAUAUUAGCUCAAAUUGUUAGAAAAUCAACUUUGUGAUGUAGUAUUAUCUAAAUAAAAAGAAAAAUGAUGAA